AUUGAACGCUGGCGGCAUGCCUUACACAUGCAAGUCGAACGGCAGCACGGGAGCAAUCCUGGUGGCGAGUGGCGAACGGGUGAGUAAAGUAUCGGAACGUGCCCAGUCGUGGGGGAUAACGUAGCGAAAGUUACGCUAAUACCGCAUACGAUCUAUGGAUGAAAGCGGGGGAUCGCAAGACCUCGCGCGAUUGGAGCGGCCGAUAUCAGAAUAGGUAGCUGGUGGGGUAAAGGCUCACCAAGCCGACGAUCUGUAGCUGGUCUGAGAGGACGACCAGGCACACUGGGACUGAGACACGGCCCAGACUCCUACGGGAGGCAGCAGUGGGGAAUUUUGGACAAUGGGCACAAGCCUGAUCCAGCCAUGCCGCGUGCAGGAUGAAGGCCUUCGGGUUGUAAACUGCUUUUGUACGGAACGAAAAGGUUUGACUUAAUACGUUGGACUCAUGACGGUACCGUAAGAAUAAGCACCGGCUAACUACGUGCCAGCAGCCGCAGUAACAC
rnacentral:rRNA from 1 species